ensembl:lncRNA
CAGCCAGCCAGGGAUUCCCUGAGGCCAUCCUGAUUCUCAGGGAAGAUGGGCUCCAGAGAAGAAAGAAUGCGGUAAGGGGAUUUGGGCUUUGGCGUUUCCCAAGUUGGGUAGACAGGAGCCCUAGUCCAGCCCACUGUUGCCAAAACUUGCCAGUUGGGAAGGGAAGGCCACUAGAGUGCAGACAGAGGCCUGUGCUGUGCAGGUGGGCCUGUGCUUCAAACUCCUCCCAGCAAACUCUCCCUCCCAGCCUGGGGCAGCUCCUGGGGCAAACACCUGUGUCCUCACGUGACCUCACUGGGUCUGAGGCCUCAGUUGGCCUUAGUUCAUAAUCCUGGGCUCUUAGUUUUGGGGAGUUAUUCCAGAGCUGGAAAACACUUGGGGGUCAUUCUAGCUAAACUUCUUCCUUACCACAUAGGGAGGCCAAGAGGCCAGGAGUUGCUUGAGGUUGUCAGUUCCCAUUUCACCUUGGAAGAGUGGGAAGAAGGGAUGUGCUUACUACAUCUGGUGUCACCCUCAGGGUCCCUGUCCUCCCAUUUUGGAAGUUGGAAUGACUUGAGUGCAGUGCAGAAAGAACGCAGAGGAAUAGUGUCUCAGCUCCUGGGUGUGGCUCAGCCGUGUGUGUGUGUGUGUGUGUGUGUGUGUGUGUGUGUGUGUAUCUAAGGGAAAGCAGAAGUACUCAGACUACACAGUGCACAUGCAGUGACAGCUAGGAGAGGAAGAAAGGGGUAAAGGCCCCUGUACAUGGCUGCUGGUGUGCCUUCUGUCCUUGCUGCAGGCUUGCACACUUGAGAGUAAACAGCCCUUCCACAUUGCCAGCAGUAAGUAGCCUUCCCUUGCCGGCUCUGGACAGAAGUGCCCAAAAUAACCAGGCGGGUACUUCCACUUGUGGCACACUCAUCGCCAUGGCUUCCGAGCAGGCUUGCUUACGUUCUAAAGCAGGCUUAACAUCUGCCAUCUCUGCUCUUCCUUCCUGUGGCCACCCUUGCCCAGCCUCUCCCAGACCAUGGCGCCUUCCCUUUUAUUGCUCUUCUUAGAGUGAGUCCAGGAGGGUGACCGCUCAUCCUGGGGGCUGCCAGUGUUCUCUGGGAAAUACUUUUGUCCCACUGUGUCCCUGUAGUCCCUGCUGGCACAGUUGAGUCUAGAGGAGGAGGAGGCCUGUGGUGUGUGUGCUCUGGAAUUCUUGCCAGCCCUGUCUCCUGAGUCUGUUGACCAGAUGUCUUACACGUCUACAGAGCUCAACACUGUUGCUGGGACUCCUUGUCUCCUUGUUCUGCCCUGCCUGCUCAGAGCUGCUGCCAGCCAGCUGUGAAGGUGAGAGAGGCAAGCCAUUCAUUUCUCCCAGGUCCAGCAGAAGGGGGAAGGAAAUGGCAUUUAUCGAGGUCUGGCUUUGUGCAGGCGCUUCAUCGAUGCGUUACCUCAUCUAAUCGCACAGUGGCUUUAACACUGUUGUGCCCACUUACUGAUAAGGGGGCUGAGGCUUACAAAGGAGAGGCUGCACACUACACCCUGUUCAGCUCUCUUACCACACAGCCCCACUCUUCUUGUGACUUUUUUCAUACGCAUGGGGAACAGUGAGAUGGUAAGAAUUAGGGCAGCAUUGGACUGACUGGAAGGGAAGAUGUUUGAGGAGGGCUGGAAAGAUAGAUCCCUCUGUGCCUCCCUCCCCAAUAUACUUUACAGGGCAACCAGAAGCCCAGUUUGGAGUUUGGGUCUAGGGCUUGCUAGGCCAUUCAUACAUGCUUGGGAGGGAGUGAUGAGGCUUAAUUUAGGCCUUCCAGAUGUCUUCUUUCUCAAAUGUACCUCAGCCUCUACAGUCCUAAGAAAAGCUCUGGAGACCAUAGACCAGGGGUUAGGUGGGAUCUUGGGUCUUCCUGACUAUUGGGUUUGACCCUAGAGCCUAUCAUUCCUGUUGGCUUGGCCCAGGUCCCAGAGUGCCUGGUUGGUGUGUACUUGGGGCUUAGGCUGAAUGUUCUGCGGGUGCCUGGUGUGGCAUGCCAAAGGCCUCUGGGUGUAUUUCAGGAACAAUAAAGAAUAAAUCAGCAGAGGAGAAAAGGGCUUACAGCAGCUGCUCAGAGACGGGAGAAAUGCAAGGAAUGUGCCAGCAUUUGGCAGAGGUCCUGCAUCUUGACCAGGCCUGAGGAAGGGCUUGAUGCCGACACAAUGCUUGGCAUGUGUCGUCAACAGCUUUUAUUUAAAAAUUUAACUUCUCAGAAGAAGCCAUAGAACCCCAUUCAGAGAUGUGAUUGCCUGUGGCUGGAUCUGAUGCUCGUUUCCUGGGCACUAGGGACCAUAGGUGCUCAAAGGAAGUUGGUUUCAAAAAAAGGCAUCUAAAGAAGAGGUCAAGCCUGAGACUUAAGAAGAAAAUUUGCAGAAAGAGUUAUUGAGACAAGGCAGUCCCAGCUCCAGUCCUGGACUUGCUGCUGUGCUCUUCUGACCUUUGACCCCUUGGAAUUUUUCAGGCCUGUAUGUUUGUGGCCUGCUUGUAGUGCAGGAAGGGCAAAGUGGUGGAGAUCUCUGCAGCAAGAAGCUUAUCGGUGUUGAUUCUGCCUCCCCCCCGCAACCAGCCCCUCCUCCGAUGUGUUCUAAGGAAGCAGUCUCCUAUUGUGGUAUGCUGGAUGGUGGGCUCUCCCAUGUGUGCAGGAUAGGGAACAGGGCAGCUGAUCCCACCUUCUGACUUACUAUCUCCCCUGCCACCCCCACAGAUCUCUGGGCAGUAGCCACCAAACCCUGGAGUUCUUCUCCACAGACUCCACCUCAUGUCCUCCAAACCCUUCACCAGGCAUUGAAUAGCCAUUCCCCUGCCUAGGCCCCCUCCGACAGGGACAUGUCUGCACGUGCACCCAUGCCUGCCUGCCACGUGGGCCUCCCUAUUCCAGGCCCCCCCAAGCCCAUAAUGGCUCCCACAAAUGAAUGUGAGCAUCCCUGAGCUUGCAGCCCCCUAGAGGCACGUGGCCUGCUGGGCUUCCCUCUGUCCUGUCUCCUCUGUCUCCUCCCCUCUCACGUGUCCUUUCUUCCUCUGCCUUGCCUUGCUGCAGACACAUGCGUAUUUCUAGUUUGCCGGGCUUGGGUCUCACUCCGAGAGGUGGAAGUCUUCAGUCCCACCCUUUCAGCUUCAUGGAGACCCCAGGGGGAUUUUCCCUCUCUGCCUUUGGUUCUCUGCUGUGAAUUGGUCUGGUUGCCCAAGAAAGGGGGGUUUAAAAAGCAAGAGAAAGAUUUGUUUAAAAAGCUUGUUGCUCUGGCCCUCUGCUCUGAGCUCUUGUCCUGCUGGGGCUAGGGUGCCUCAGUACCCUCUCUGUCCCUCUUUCCCUGCAAUUUAUACGCACAUGAAAACAACAGAAGAGCACAGGCUGGUGGCUUGCACUGUCUUCAGGGCCCAGGAGCCGAGGAAGGAAAUGGAGGAGGAAGUUACUCCCCUUCUGGGUGCUGGGUGAAAGUGAAAGAGAGGGAGGGGGCCUCCAGUGAGUCAGGCAGGCCAGUCCCGGAGCCAGAGUUGGAGCUGCUUCGGAAGCGUGCAGAGCCGCGAUAGCAUGGUGUGUCUGGGAGGGGAACCCGGCUAGGUGUGGGCAGGGCUUGUGACGCCUGGUCUGUUCCCUGCUGGUUUUCUGGGAACUGCCCCACCUGCUAACAUAAUGUCUGUUGCAUUCAGAACUUACCAGGAUCUGCAGAUUCAUCUUUGUCCGCCCCUAAUCUUCCUACCUUAGAGACCCAAGGCCAGAAUCUUGGGGAAGAGGUGGGCUGCUAUAUUCCUACUAAAUUCCCAGGAAGAAAAAACAAACUAAAGAAAUGAAAUACAGCAAGCAGCUAUGCAUGUUGUAAAAUACAGGCCUGGAUUCUGUUCUGUAGCAAUGUCAAUCGUCCUAAACAGCUGGGCAGUGGUGUCACACGCCUUUAAUCCCAGCACUUAGGAGGCAGAGGCAGGUGGAUCUCUGUGAGUUCGAGGCCAGUCUGGUCUAUAAGAGAGUUCCAGGACGGCCAGGGCUACAGAGAGAAACCCUGUCUCGAAAAACCAAACCAAACAGUCGUCGUAAACAUCAAAGUUAAAGGGGGUUGGAGAGUCUAGUCUGACUCACGCCCACAACAUGUGGUAAGCACAUAUAAAGUCCCCAUUCCAGCUACCCUAUCCCCCAAAUUAUGGUAAAGCAGAACACUGAGCACUUUACAUCUCGGAAAGUCGUGGGUACCUAAGUUCUAGAACUCUGCACCCUUCAUAUUUUAGCUAGAUUCUACUUUAGACAGCUGCUCUUUAGCAGCGGACUUGAAGGAGGUGGCAGCCUGCAGCAGCUGCUGACC